UCUUCACGCCGCCGCUCGCACGCAGCCUGCGCGCUGCGCAACAGAAAACCAAUGGAAUACAGAUGGACAACAAAAUAGUUCUCUGAAAGUGGCACUUGCUUCUUGCCUUUCGGUGUAUAUUGCUUGCCAAUGAUCAGUGCAAAUUACUGCAGCAGAGUGCUCCAGAAGAUUAAACUCAAGAGAAAUAAACCUGAUUGGGUUAUUAAUGUGUUUGUGUAAUUUAUUUGCGUUCGUGAUAAGUUAUAUUUCUUUCGGAAUUCUAGAUAUUUUUAAUAUUCCGUGAAUACAAUUAUAUUAAGCCAGUUAUCAAAAACAAUCUUUUCACACAUUUUAACCACAUAUGAGAAUCAUCACGGUAUAAUGACCGGAACGGGAAAAGUAUUUUAAUUAAUUAUUUCUAAACGAAAUCACAAGCUGAAAGAAAUAUAAUUUAAAAUCAUAAAAUAAAAAUAAUUUGUACUUAUGUUGACGUUGUAUAUUCAUCAGAGGACAUAACGUGAAGAUUUGCGAGAAAGUGUUUGUAAUGUCAUCGACAAAAUUUGUAUGAGAUUGGUUACUGCAUAAAUGUUACACACAUUUUGUCUGUUGUUUCGAAUAUUUUCUAGCAAAUUUUCGUUCCGGACCUCCAGUUCCUAAUGUAUUUAGUUUAACAUUCCUAGAAUGUAUCUCGCAAGAAUCGAAUAUUUUUUACAAUUGUAAGUUAGGUGAAUGGUUUUCAUUUUAUAUUUUUUACUGUUUAGUUUUUUUAAAUUAUUUUUUAACUUUGUGCUUUUAUCGGUGCUUCAAAAGCAUUUUAUAUUUUUUGAAAUGUUUUUCUUUAAAUGUAGUUAGUAAGUAUCCUAAUACUAAACGGCGUAAAAUACGCCUUCGUUCUUAAAUUCGAAAAGGCGCAUUUCUUCUUCGAUUUCGAAGAAUCCGAGACGGCGCAUAUCCAGUUAACCGAGUUAUUAGGCCUUAGACAUCAUACAGACGGGCGAUUUUUUAAAGUAUCACGUUUAAAAGCGCUUCUGUAUCAACAGAUACAAGAGAAUAAAUUUGUCCCAUUCCAACGUUUACUUAACGCGCGGUACAAAAGCGUAAUCACGAGCCUUUAACCUUAGAAUUCCACUGAUGGGACUCUUAUUCAUCUUGUUAUCUCUUUCAUUAACUUUGAUAACAGAGACGACAUGUAAUAAAUAAAGUUAAUGCAAUUAUAAAAGGUAGAACGUGUGCACACCUGACUAAACUAUCGCACAACUGUUUAGUCGCGCUUUGAUAUGAGC